rnacentral:rRNA from 1 species
CCUACGGGAGGCAGCAGUGGGGAAUAUUGCACAAUGGACGAAAGUCUGAUGCAGCGACGCCGCGUGAGUGAUGAAGGCCUUCGGGUUGUAAAGCUCUGUUCUCAGGGAAUAAAAAAAUGAAUGUACCUGAGAAGAAAGGACCGGCUAACUUCGUGCCAGCAGCCGCGGUAAU